AUGGUGGCGGCGGCGCCGCGCGCCACGCGGAGGUCGUUCAGGGACUCGCUGGAGGCCGACAUCCAGCGCGCCAACAGCCUGGCGUCGGACUGUUCGCCGGACUACGACGGGGCGUGCCUGCAGAUGCGCAUGUCCUACAGCCCCGCCGCGCGCCUCUUCCUCUUCCUCCUGCAGUGGACCGACUGCAGCCUCGCCGGCGCCCUCAGGAUCCCCAUCUAG
rnacentral:rRNA from 1 species